AAAAAGGCCUUAUUAUUAAAGGCCACCAGUUAAAAGUGGUAAAUGAUUU
rfam:Myotis davidii contig77474, whole genome shotgun sequence.